AUCUGUUGCCAUACCACCCCGAACACACCCAAUUUCAUCUGAUCUUGGAAGUUAAGCAGGGUCAGGCCUGGUUAGUACUUGGAUGGGAAACUACCUGGGAAUACCAGGUGCUAUAGGCU
rnacentral:rRNA from 1 species